UACAGAGGGCUCAAGCGUUGUUCGGAUUCAUUGGGCGUAAAGGGUGCGUAGGUGGCGAGGCAAGUCAGAUGUGAAAUCCCGGGGCUCAACCCCGGAACUGCAUUUGAAACUGCCUUGCUCGAGUACUGGAGAGGAGACUGGAAUUUACGGUGUAGCAGUGAAAUGCGUAGAUAUCGUAAGGAAGACCAGUGGCGAAGGCGAGUCUCUGGACAGUUACUGACACUGAGGCACGAAGGCCAGGGGAGCAAACGGG
rnacentral:rRNA from 1 species